GCCAUAUUGGGGUAAAGGUGAUAUAUUGUGAUUGUCAUAUCUUCUUAACGAGUUCGGUGACCCCGACUUUUUUGUGUGAUUUUACUUUAAGUAUAUCAUAAACUCCAUGCCUGGGAAGUUUCAGCACAUUCUCAUUUCGGGAACAAUUACUGCGGAAUUACCUUAAUUUGGGCACUUUUUAACACUCGUCCCCAGUCCACUCAUC